rnacentral:lncRNA from 1 species
UUAGCGGCCGAAUUCUUGGCCAUCGGAUGGUUCCAAGAUUGAUGAUCUGCUAGAGGUGAGGAUGAGAGUUGCUAUCACGCAUCGUCUUCUUCGUCACGCCACCCCGUCUUCUACCUCUACCUCUCUGCUUUGUCCCCAGCCUCCCUACCGACAGUUCCAGUAGGCCGGAGGCGAGGAAGAUCUGCAGGUGAGGAUGUAUUGCUCUCUCCUAUCUCUGUCUGUUCACUCCGCCCUCCCUAUCCCUAUCUGUUCUGUCCUUGGCCACCUUGCCGGUGGAUUCAGCCAGCCAUAUGCGAGUAAGAUCCUCCAGCAGUAAGGAUGCGAGGUAUCUGUUGCGUACCCUCUUCUCCAUCUCUCCACUCCUUCAUCUUCCUCUCCCCUCUCUGCUAUGUCCCCAAUGGAUACGUCCAUCUGGAGCCAAGGUGAGGACAAAGCAAAAUGUCACCAUAUUUUCAUGGUAAUGCUAUAUGUGUUAGUGUUAGUGAGUACAUGUUUUGUCUUCGUAAUUAUAUACUAUGUUCUAUAUGUUUUAGUCACUACAUAUUAUGUCGGGGGUUGGAUAAUUCUUUGUUCUGUACGUUAUUGGUACUGGGUUUGUGAAAGAAUGUGAUUUGAAUUUGCAGGUGUUUGUGAGAUUGUAAUUUCUGAAGUUGUUUACUAUUCUGCCAAUCUUAUAGUUUCAGAGUGUCGAAACUUAUGUUUAUUGCUGACAUCAUACCCAGUUCAGUUUUGAUAUAUCUCAUUGUAUAAAAGGCCAUACUAAAAUCUUAUAAGUAGUAUUAUGGGAGUACAUGUUUUCUGUAACAACUGUUAGUUAGAAAAGCUAGCAUCUAGACUAUUAUCUAGUGUGAUAAAUACGUGAAGGCGAGUCCGAACAUUUUCUUUGGUUACAUGGUCUGGUGCUAAUGCAAGACCAUUAUGCGCAUACUUUGAUUUGGCAGGCUGGGUCCUUGGCAAGGUAAAUGACAAAUCCUCAGUCCAAUUUUCAGGUAUGCAUUUCUUCAGACUGAAUUUAAUUCUGUUCCCUUGAGUUUCUUCAACAAGGUGCAAACAAUAGCAGUUCAAAGGUUGCAGUUGAGAUUCUGAAGCCCAAACUCAAGGUUCAAUAGAACAAUGGCUGUUUUUACAUGUAAUAUUGUAUUUUGUAGUUUUGUUAGCAAUGAAGACAAAUUGAAGGUACAUAUACGAGGUAUUUGUGUCCUUCUAGUCCGAAAGAAACUCAAUUGGUUUUUUUUUUACAAUUUUAGUUAACAUAGUAUAUGAAGUUAGGAGUAGGAUUCACAAAGGAUGCCAUUUUUUAUAAUUUUAGCUAGAAUGGCAUUUUAGUUGUGUUACAUUUGUUGGAUGAGAUCCUUACCUUAAGCACAGUUCGCUUGAAUUUGACAGUGCAUGCCAAUUUUUAAUUUUUGUUUCUAUCUGUACUCUUGAAGAGAUCAAGCAGAGUCAAGUACGAAAGAAAUUUGCUUACCCUUGGGUCACUUGUUAUUAAGGAGAACUCAAAUUUGUCUAAAGGAGAUUUUCCUGACUCUUAGCAGAAGAUUGUUCUGUCAUGAACUAGCCAUAUGGUAGAGUUUUGUAUUCAGAAUGAUUAGUUUUGUUAGAAGGUUUACUUUUGUAGUCUUCAAAUGAGCAACAUAUCAUGAAAUUUACUAAUAUCAAGACUAUUGGGUUUUGUUAGC